UUACACGCUUUAUUAAUUGAGACCACAGACAGAACACUGUUUGAGACAUUCGGUAAAUUAAUGACAGAAAAAACUACGAAACUACGAACCACUACGAACUACACACUACACACGAAAAUCUAAGAGCUACAGUAAUUACAUGCGGUACCUACACAUUUGUUAAAAAUAAAUGAAAAGAUAGGAAAUUUGUAGAUUAAUUUUUGGUAAUUCUAUUCCUAUUUCGUCAUGUAUGGACGUAGCCGAUCUCGUUCCCCGGUCCGCUCCAAGAAUCUAUCUAAACAAAAUGAUAUUGUGCGCCGUCGUAAUGACAAUGUUAUGGACUGCAGGGUAUUAUACAUAAAACCUAUACCUAAGUUUUGGAAUGCUGAAAAAGUAAAGAGUUUUAUCCAAGAUAAAUGCAAAUCAAGGACAAUACCAGAAAAUAUAAAAUUUGUGUUACUUUUCAUAGAAGACAACGGUGACCCUUCAUGUCUGGUCAAAUUUGCAAAUUCUUACAUAUGCAAUUUGGCUUUGAUGGAGCUAGAAAAUGUGGAAAUUGAUGGAAAAAGACUUUUCAUAAAUUUGGACACUGAUAAUCUAUUCAACAAGAAAAGGAAUAUGAACAGAAACAUCUUUAAACAUUCGAAACAGAGAACUCAGUCAAGCCAGAAAACGCAAGAUUACCAAAAUCCGGUACAGCAAGCCGAGCAAUCGCACCAGUCGCAGCCGCAAAUGAACGCGAACACCGCAACGGAGCAAACGAGCGACGCCCAAAGCUCGAAACAUGAAACAUACGGACUCAGUUUGAACUUUUUGGAGUCUUUGAACAUAAAGCUGCCGUUACUAAACAAGAUCUUCAUUGGGAACCUGGACGUCUUGGUUACGGAGUCGAAGCUGCGCGAGGUGUUCGGCUACUGCGGACAAAUAGUCAGCUGCUCGAUAAUAGUCAAGGAUGACAAGCUGUCUCGGUACAUGGCCAAAAUUGAAUACGACCACCCGGUGGAGGCUGUGCAGGCAAUCGCGAUGCUAAACAGACAAGAGCUUUACAACAAACGGAUGUUGGUCCAGAUGGACACCGCGCCGCGUCCGUUCCCAAACAACCUUCCGAACGGUCUGGGCGGCUUCGGCCCGGGCCUGGGCGUCGACGGCGAACCCCUCAGGGGCGUAAGAGUCCACCUCGAGAUGCGGCCCAUCAAGCAACUCCUCGAAAACUUGAAGGAAGACAUACAAAAGCAGAAUCAGGUUAACGAUCUGAACAAAUACAAAGAGAUGCAGAAUGCAAACAGUGGCUUCGAGGCCGUCGUCCAGCAGCAGGUCGCGCCGGUCCUCAACCAAGCUCAGAUACCGGUCAUGGUGCAGCCGUUCACGAACCAGACCUUCGUUGCCGUGCCCCAAAUGAAGACCAGCGCCGCUCAGAUGCAGGCGGCCACUGAAUACGGCCUGGCCAUGAUGAACGCCCAGCAAGUGUCGCGCUGGGACCAGACCAGCGCGCAGUGGAACGUCAUCCAAACUAAGCAGUUCGAAGACACCUCGGCACUCGAUGGUAACUACAGCAGGCAGGCGGUCGACGAUAAGCGAGACAGCAGGGCCGCCCCCUCCGCGCAGUCCGUACACGCAUUUGAAUCUGACAACACCAAGCAAUCGACCAGCAUGGUGGUCUUUAGUUAUCUGCCUCCGAGCGUGGACCUCCAGGCCCUCAGCAACAAGAUGCGGGAGGUCGGCGAGGUGAAGUUCGUGGAUGUGCUGGGCAUGGGUCGGGCGAUCGUCAGCUUCUUCAACGUGCGCGACGCCGAGCGUUGUGUCAAAUUCUUUGACGGCUCCAAAGUGGACGGACAGACUAUUGAAGUGAAGUACUUCUGAAGAUACGGUGAGUCAACUUAAUUACGAAUUUUAAUUUAAGAUUUUCGGUUUCUCUCUCGCCUGUAGAUGUAUUUGAUAUGAAAGCUGUAUUAGUGUUGCCAACGUUUUGUUAAUUCGUAAGGUACUAAAUUAAGAAAACAAUCAAAAACACGUCUAAUAGUAAUAGUGAACAAAAGAAAAAUUCUGUAGGUAAGCCUCAAAACUGAAAUGUAUGUAUAUGAAAAAACGUAUUUGACAUAAUAUGCGACAUGUGCCAUUUUCGAAAUUGCAUAUUCAAUUAGGUAUUGUUUGUUCGUGUUUUCCACUAGAGUUGUCGACUGUAGAUUUAACAAAUUUGUCACCGGAACAUGGCCUGACUUAACUAUUCACAUAUUAUAAUAUAUUAAUUUAAAGUCAUCGUGGCCUAAAGGACAAGACGCCCGGUGCAUUCGUAUCGAGUGAUGCGACCGUGCCAAUGUUCCAAUACCGCAAACAGGUAAAAAAAAGCCAUUGAAAUACGUACUUGACAAAUGUUCACGAAUGACCACCACGGUAUUACUCCCGUGUAAUGUGCCUAAUUUAAACCCGAAAAAAAAAUUGUUUGCGUAAUUAUUGGUGGUAGGACGUCUUGAGAGUCCGCGCGGGUAGGUCCACACUGCCUAUUUCUGCCGUGAAGCAGUAAUGCGUUUUGGUUUGAAGGGUGAGGCAGCCGUUGUAUUAUGAAACUAACACUAGGUAGACCGUGAGUUCGUCCAUAUAUUUAAGCAAUAAAAAAAAAACAGAAUAGACAGCGAAGACAUCAGCUUGGAAGAUAAUUUUCUUUGUCUUCGUAACAUUUCUACGAAUUUUGAUAACCAACGAAGAUAAAUCGCCUUCGUCACCACAAUCGCCAGCCAUCUCCUGCAUCAAUACACAGAAAAUGUCCGUUACUCCACAAAUCAGUGUGGCGGCCUCGUCCUGAACAACUCACCUGGGUGUUUGUUUCUACGAAAUACCCUCACCACUUCGCGAUGCCAAUACACAUAGCAGCUUGAAAUAUCUCCGGCGCGUCAGCUCUGAAAGACGUGGCAUACUCGCGGCAAUUAACGCAACAUUCUCGCUCGAUAUCAACACGCGGACUUGAAGAAGACGAAGAUUGGAAACACGCUAAGCCUGGAUUUGUUCAAACUAUCUAACUGUGCCAAGCCAAAUGGCAGUUUGCCGUUGCAAUUUUUAAAUGACCGUGCCAGGCGUCUUGGAGAGCGUUGAUGUAUCAUAGUUCUCCUGUUCUUUGCUUGACAGAGCACAAUAAGAAUUCGGUCUUCGUUUUAAAUGGAGCAUCAUUCUUAAUGUCUUCGUCAUCAGAGAAUUUAUUGUCUACCACGUGAUGCGUUUCACCCAAGGAGGCAAAAACAUAGAACUCGUAAAGAGAGCAUCCCUUAUACCUAACACUAUAUUAACUAUGCUUUAUGUAUUUAUUCAUCGGAGAGUUACCACUGUAUUAUUUCAUGACUGGCCUUGGUUUUAUUUUGGUUCGCUGGUUUACUUGUGUUUAUCAGCAUCAUUAAGAACCUAUUUCAGUCCACUAUUGGACUUAGGCCUCUAGCGACACACCACGCAACCGGAUACUUGGCCUGUGUUUGUUUCUUUAUUAUUGAUGUUUCAAUAGAUCUUUGAUUUGAAAUGUUAUGAUGCCUCCAUUUGCUUCUGGUGACUUUUAUUAUUAGCUUACUAACUUGAGCGUAUCGACGUGUGUGUGACGAUGUGUUUUUGUCGGCUCUAUUCAGCCAUAGGACACAUUUAGUGAAGGCCAACAAUAUAUCGCAAGUACGGCGAAUAAUAAGCAAUAGGAAUAUCGAUAGUAGGCAGUUUUUGGAUUCAAAUACUUUGGGCAUUGUGCCCAAAAAGGAUUAUAGUUGCGUGUGUAUGUGUCUUGUAGACAGUGAUUAUAAUAAAUGUUGGUUCAGUCAUCUAUUAUUAGUCUGGUAAUUUUUGGGGCUCUUCGAAACAAUUGACAUCAGUUUUAUAAGCAACAUAAAAUUUAAUAUAUGUCUUGCAUUGUAAAAAGUCUGACACGAUCUUUCGUUGACCAAGCUUUUUCCCUCUGGAUUUUAUCAUCCGACAGUAAAAAAUGUGAACUGAGUGUUUUCCAUGGGUUAUUUUAUCCCAUCGUUUUAUCAUUACGUAAUAUCGCAAACGUAUAAUUACGGAAUCUACGUUGACAAUUGUCAGGGUUCGCCCGUAAUGCGUAUGAGAGUAUGCGAAUACUCUCGACUCAUUUCAACGUUACAUUACAUUUAUAUGACAAUAGUGCUUUGCCAACUUUACCUAACGACUGCGACUGUUGCCGCUUUAUUUAGAGUAAAAGUUUCAGAAUCACUGAGUUGUGAAAAAGUCGUCUGACUUUUAUUAUUAUCCUAGAAAUAGAAUAUAUUCGCUAUUACCACAGUGGAAUAAAAAAUAAUAAUAGGGGUGUGACUGUGUUAUGGACACGGCCGUUUGUUGUACGUGAAUACGUCUCGUAACGGGUAAUACAGCCCGAUGUCGAUACAGAAGCGAUUUCAUCAUCCAUCUGCGUAAUUUCAACCGUCCCAGCUGCAGAUGUACUGGCACCGUCGUUGAUCCGCUCGGCCGCAUUCAUUACUUUACGUUGCCGGCACUGCUUGACUCGAUCAUAUGGUGUUUUAUUUGUACCAUUCGAUUGCUGUUGAGAUGCCCUUUCCAACCGUAUACGAUCUCUGUAUUUCGAUUUGGCUUUUCGACGCUUAUAGGCCGACAUUAUAUAUUUUUUGAUAUUUUUAUUUUAUUUGAACACCUUAUUAUAUUCACAGUUACAAUUUUACACUAAUGUUAUAUAUAUAAUUUAUUAGUUAUAUCGAUAGAUUUUGACGAGAGCUGACGAUUGAAACUUGAAUGAACGUCGUAGCUUCACCGAGUCGAAAGUUAUUCUAAAUGGAAAUCUCGAUACGCAGCAAAAUGACCUUCAAAAUGGCGGGGCUGCCCCCUCCCCCGCGCGCGAUGUGUUACAGUCCUUACUUAGCGUAAUAAAUUCUUUGAUUCUUUAGCUAUCCAGUGGUUUAACUGAAAUUUGGAUGGAGAUGAUAGAUAUGUAGCUACAACACUAAACUGUACCCCCAUUUUGUUAUCAUUCCUUUUUUUGGAUUGCGUCCCUAUGGAAGUAAUUUUAAAGACGUAUUCACGUUUCAUUAUAAAGUACGCUAAAUACUAAAAUUACCUCAAAACGGAUGGGUAAUGUAAUGUUACAAUAAUAGGAGGGUAUCCAAAUAAUAUAAUACUUGUUAGGUACCAUCUCAAUUAUCAGAGAUGAGGAAUCCGUUUUAAAGUACUAAAAACUACGUGGGCUAGACCGAACCGUGGUGGCUUGUGUCAGUCUCCGUGAUGGAGGUUUUCACCAUAAGCCGUAGUAGUGUUUGCCAGCCGAAGAACGUGAAGUUAAUGCCGAGAUUCGACGCUUUUUAUGAGACCAUCAUCAUUUGUCGCAACAUUAUAACCUUAUCUGGUGAUUGAUCAGAAAUAUAAAGUUAACGAAUGCUUCGCUCAGAAUGGAUCAUUGUUCAUAUAAAGUUUGCGCUUACUACAAAAAUAUUGGUCAGGAAAAAUCUUGAGUGACCUCAAGACUUGAUAUGCGUUACCUGUAGAUAAGCGUUGAAGAAAUUGAAUGUGAUUCUACAUCGUGUAUCUCCAAUGAGUACUACAGUGAUGUUCUGAUAUUUUUAUUGAUUCUUCUGCUGGUUGUAAUAUACGAGCAAGGCCGAAGAUACAAUCGUCUUAUUUUUUUUUUGUACUAACUUCAAAAUAUUUCAUUGCAGUUAUGCCGUGGCGGACAGAAGAUAAUAUUAAUGGUAUGGUAGGUUGCAAAAGCUCGAUAAAACUUGUCACAUUUUUCUUGCACGAUCACUUGCACAUUAAAUGAUGAAAUUAA